AAAGAGAAGCAGGAGAGUGACAGGGUGUGACCGAGUUCUUCAGGAAGAUCUCCAUGGGAGACUGCAGGAGCUGGCUUGAAAGUUUCCUGGUGCACUGGGAGAAAAUGCUGGAGACAACAGCAUCACCAACCACAGCCCCAGCUACAGCCCAAUCCAGGGCCACGGCCGUACUCCCAUCGCCUGUAUGCUCCUGGUGACCCUCACCUGCUCCAUUCUCCUUGGUGUCCUAGGAUGUAUCUUUACAGUAAUAGGCUAACGAUGCUCCCAAGAAGGCUCCGAGGGUGUGGUCUAUGCCAGGGACUCUGCCUUCUGGUUGGCCUCCUUUGGAUCACCUGCUGUUCUUUUCUAGACCACCAGGAGUUCAGACCUUACAAAUCCAGAGACCGCCUUCAGAUCACGGUGAGACAGUCCAUGCAGUAUCUGAGGUCCUUUACUGCAUUUGGUGAUUCUGCCAUUCUGUGCUUUCUCUUAAAAUAAUAUGCCCCUUUCUCUGGGUGCUCAGUGGUGGAAUUUCCAUAUUUCCAGUUGAAAUGGUUGAACAAGAAAUCUCAACAAAGACAACCUUUUCCAUCUUCUCCUUUGAUUGUAGAAAAUCAGAUUCUUCUCUGCCUGCCCUCCUCUGCUCACAUCCCUGUCCCCACACAGCCUCCAGCCUGCUGUCCCCCAGGAACUUCCCAGUGCACUUGGCCAACAGAUCACAGCACAUUCAGCAACAGGCACUGUCCCCCAGGAGUCCCUGCUCCUCCACGCCAGCUCGCAGUCUUUCACUGCCCACCUCACCCCGUCCCCAUGCACCCCAGGGCCUCCAACACCUUCCCCCCUUUGAAGUGUCCUUAAUCACAUUGCCACCAACUGGUCUCUUAUGCUCUUGCCUGAGGACACACUCUAGGGUAGCCUCCACACCUGGCCCCCAGAACCUGGAGUAGGAGGGAUGAGAGGAACUUGUUUCCAAAGUGUGACCCUGGGAAUGAGGGUGAGGAAGGGCCCUCCCACUUCUACCCUCUGGGGCCAGAACCAUAUAUGUGGCUACUGGGAGAUGAUAUCAUAAUGGUCAUCUAUUUAGGCAAGACUCUGCAAACUGUUCCUGUAAACAGAAGACAAUGAAUGUUUUCAUCUUUGUGGGCCAUUUGGUGCCUGUCUUUGAUCAGCUACUCACCUCCACAUUUGUAGUGUAACAGCAGCCAAAGACAACGUGCAAAGGAUGGGGGAACAGAUUUGGCCCCAUCGUGGUUUGCUGACCCCAGGUUUAGGGUAUAUGCAGGGUCCCAGAUAUGGGUGCCCCAUACCCUAGGGAAUCAUCUUGAAUGGUGCCUCAGCUGUGUGCUGAGGAGCCAGAAAGGCACCCUGUCCUGCCUGUGGCUCUGGGUGGAGUGAAUGUGACAGCAUGUGGGUCCUACAGGUGUGGGCCCUGGUCACCUCCUUUCUGUAGAGUGGAUUCCUCUGUCUAAAGGGAUGAUAAGGGACACUCCAUGAAGCCACAGGUGGGAUGCAACACUUCUGGUGUCAGGAUCUGGGCCACCUACUUGUGCACAUUAUUUGUUCCCUGUGGCCCUGCUCAUGCCAAUGCCAGAAGAAUCACUUCUAUUUUAUGACCACUGGGUCUGAUUCUCAUGAUGGGCAACUCUGAUUCUCAUGGCCAGAGGCCUCAUCUCUG